AGGGAAAAGUUCGAAGGCAAGUACUAGUGAGUUCCAUGGGAGGGACUUAAUCAUGCAGAGGUAUGAUCGAAGCAGCUGGAGAGUUGGACUGCUUCAGAGCUCAUAUUCGCUUAAGGGAGCCCGGCAGGUCAGAGGACAAGGCCGAGUAAGCGAACGUUGCUACCAAGGAAGCUAAGGAGAACAGAAUCGGUGCAAACCCUACAAUGUGAUGGCAGAGGCCAUGCAUGGGAGUUGCCGUCUGUCUUUCCAUCGACCAAAUAGACUGCUUGGAGAACACAAAGGUGUUG
rnacentral:lncRNA from 1 species